rnacentral:rRNA from 1 species
UGGGGAAUAUUGCACAAUGGGGGAAACCCUGAUGCAGCGACGCCGCGUGAACGAAGAAGGUAUUCGUAUCGUAAAGUUCUGUCCUAUGGGAAGAUAAUGACAGUACCAUAGAAGAAAGCUCCGGCUAAAUACGUGCCAGCAGCCGCGGUAAUACGUAUGGAGCGAGCGUUGUCCGGAAUUAUUGGGCGUAAAGGGUACGCAGGCGGUUUAAUAAGUCGAAUGUUAAAGAUCGGGGCUCAACCCCGCAAAGCAUUGGAAACUGAUAAACUUGAGUAGUGGAGAGGAAAGUGGAAUUCCUAGUGUUGUGGUGAAAUACGUAGAUAUUAGGAGGAAUACCAGUAGCGAAGGCGACUUUCUGGACACAAACUGACGCUGAGGUACGAAAGCGUGGGGAGCAAACAGG